GUUAUCGUUUAUUUGAUAGUACCUUACUACUUGGAUAACCGUGGUAAUUCUAGAGCUAAUACAUGCUAAAAACCCCGACUUCGGAAGGGGUGUAUUUAUUAGAUAAAAAACCAAUGCCCUUCGGGGCUCCUUGGUGAUUCAUAAUAACUUAACGAAUCGCAUGGCCUUGUGCCGGCGAUGGUUCAUUCAAAUUUCUGCCCUAUCAACUUUCGAUGGUAGAGUAGUGGUCUACCAUGGUUUCAACGGGUAACGGGGAAUUAGGGUUCUAUUCCGGAGAGGGAGCCUGAGAAACGGCUACCACAUCCAAGGAAGGCAGCAGGCGCGCAAAUUACCCAAUCCCGACACGGGGAGGUAGUGACAAUAAAUACUGAUACAGGGCUCUUUUGGGUCUUGUAAUUGGAAUGAGUACAAUUUAAAUCCCUUAACGAGGAACAAUUGGAGGGCAAGUCUGGUGCCAGCAGCCGCGGUAAUUCCAGCUCCAAUAGCGUAUAUUAAAGUUGUUGCAGUUAAAAAGCUCGUAGUUGAACCUUGG
rnacentral:rRNA from 1 species